rnacentral:rRNA from 1 species
CCGCCGCGGUAACACAUGCAAGUCGAACGGAGUUAUAUUGUAGCUUGCUAUGGUAUAACUUAGUGGCAGACGGGUGAGUAAUGUAUAGGAAUCUACCUAGUAGUACGGAAUAAUUGUUGGAAACGGCAACUAAUACCGUAUAUGCCCUACGGGGGAAAAAUUUAUUGCUAUUAGAUGAGCCUAUAUUAGAUUAGCUAGUUGGUGGAGUAAUAGCCUACCAAGGCAAUGAUCUAUAGCUGAUCUGAGAGGAUGAUCAGCCACACUGGAACUGAGAUACGGUCCAGACUCCUACGGGAGGCAGCAGUGGGGAAUAUUGGAAAAUGGGCGAAAGCCUGAUCCAGCCAUGCCGCAUGAGUGAAGAAGGCCUUUGGGUUGUAAAGCUCUUUUAGUGAGGAAGAUAAUGACGGUACUCACAGAAGAAGUCCUGGCUAACUCCGUGCCAGCCGCCGCGGUAAGAC